GCGGAUCACACCGCUCCCGGUAAAACGGGACGGCCCGCCAGAGGACCCCUAAACUCUGUUUCUAUAUGUAACUUCUGAGUAAAACCAUAAAUAAAUCAAAACUUUCAACAACGGAUCUCUUGGUUCUGGCAUCGAUGAAGAACGCAGCAAAAUGCGAUAAGUAAUGUGAAUUGCAGAAUUCAGUGAAUCAUCGAAUCUUUGAACGCACAUUGCGCCCGCCAGUAUUCUGGCGGGCAUGCCUGUUCGAGCGUCAUUUCAACCCUCAAGCACAGCUUGGUGUUGGGACUCGCGUUAAUUCGCGUUCCCCAAAUUGAUUGGCGGUCACGUCGAGCUUCCAUAGCGUAGUAGUAAAACCCUCGUUACUGGUAAUCGUCGCGGCCACGCCGUUAAACCCCAACUUCUGAAUCAUGGCCUCGGAUCAGGCAUGCAGAACACAACACGUUGAGUAAAAAUUUUCAAAAACCCGUGAGCACACCACCCAGUUGUUUUUUCUAAAUGAUCAUUACCCAGGAGGAGA
rnacentral:rRNA from 1 species